GACGAACGCUGGCGGCGUGCUUAACACAUGCAAGUCGAGCGGUAAGGCCCUUUCGGGGGUACACGAGCGGCGAACGGGUGAGUAACACGUGGGUGACCUGCCCUCAGCUCUGGGAUAAGCCUGGGAAACCGGGUCUAAUACUGGAUAUGACUCCAUGACGCAUGUUGUGGGGUGGAAAGCCUUGUGCGGCUGAGGAUGGGCCCGCGGCCUAUCAGCCUUGUUGGGUGGGGUGANGGCCCUACCAAGGCGACGACGGGUAGCCGGCCUGAGAGGGCGACCGGCCACACUGGGACUGAGACACGGCCCAGACUCCUACGGGAGGCAGCAGUGGGGAACCUUGCGCAAUGGGCGAAAGCCUGACGCAGCGACGCCGCGUGAGGGAUGACGGCCU
rnacentral:rRNA from 1 species